rnacentral:rRNA from 1 species
GAUGAACGCUAGCGGCAGGCUUAACACAUGCAAGUCGAGGGGCAGCGGGGAGGAAGCUUGCUUUCUCCGCCGGCGACCGGCGCACGGGUGAGUAACACGUAUGCAACCUGCCCCUGUCAGGGGGACAACCCGCCGAAAGGCGGGCUAAACCCGCGUACAUGCCACCGGGGCAUCCCGGAGGCAGGAAAGGCUUCGGCCGGACAGGGAUGGGCAUGCGGCGCAUUAGGCAGUAGGCGGGGUAACGGCCCACCUAACCGACGAUGCGUAGGGGUUCUGAGAGGAAGGUCCCCCACACUGGUACUGAGACACGGACCAGACUCCUACGGGAGGCAGCAGUGAGGAAUAUUGGUCAAUGGUCGGGAGACUGAACCAGCCAAGCCGCGUGAGGGAGGAAGGUACAGAGUAUCGUAAACCUCUUUUGUCAGGGAACAAAGACUGGGACGCGUCCCCGGAUGAGUGUACCUGAAGAAAAAGCAUCGGCUAACUCCGUGCCAGCAGCCGCGGUAAUACGGAGGAUGCGAGCGUUAUCCGGAUUUAUUGGGUUUAAAGGGUGCGCAGGCGGUCUGUUAAGUCAGCGGUCAAAGCCCGGGGCUCAACCCCGGCCCGCCGUUGAAACUGGCAGUCUCGAGUUGGAGAGAAGUAUGCGGAAUGCGCGGUGUAGCGGUGAAAUGCAUAGAUAUCGCGCAGAACUCCGAUUGCGAAGGCAGCAUGCCGGCUCCACACUGACGCUGAGGCACGAAAGCGUGGGUAUCGAACAGGAUUAGAUACCCUGGUAGUCCACGCAGUAAACUAUGAAUGCUGGCUGUCCGGGGGGACUGACCCCUGGGUGGCGAAGCGAAAGCGAUAAGCAUUCCACCUGGGGAGUACGCCGGCAACGGUGAAACUCAAAGGAAUUGACGGGGGCCCGCACAAGCGGAGGAACAUGUGGUUUAAUUCGAUGAUACGCGAGGAACCUUACCCGGGCUCAAACGGGGAGUGGCGCAGGCAGAGACGCCUGUUUCCCACGGGACACUCCCCGAGGUGCUGCAUGGUUGUCGUCAGCUCGUGCCGUGAGGUGUCGGCUUAAGUGCCAUAACGAGCGCAACCCCCGCGUGCAGUUGCUAACAGUCAACGCUGAGGACUCUGCACGGACUGCCGGCGCAAGCCGCGAGGAAGGCGGGGAUGACGUCAAAUCAGCACGGCCCUUACGUCCGGGGCGACACACGUGUUACAAUGGGUGGUACAGCGGGAAGCCAGGCGGCGACGCCGAGCGGAACCCGAAAUCCACUCUCAGUUCGGAUCGGAGUCUGCAACCCGACUCCGUGAAGCUGGAUUCGCUAGUAAUCGCGCAUCAGCCAUGGCGCGGUGAAUACGUUCCCGGGCCUUGUACACACCGCCCGUCAAGCCAUGGGAGCCGAGGGCGCUUGAAGUGCGUCGCCGUGAGGCGCGCCCUAGAGCGAAAUCGGUGACUGGGGCUAAGUCGUAACAAGGUAGCCGUACCGGAAGGUGCGGCUGGAACACCUCCUUUCUGGAGACCGGGAUUCCGGUCGGUUGAGGGUGACACAAAAUAGAUGGACAAGGAGACGAAAGUCCACCUCACUCUGUCGGUCCUGUGGGAAAUUCUCUUGACAAGGGGGAUUAGCUCAGUUGGCUAGAGCAUCUGCUUUGCACGCAGAGGGUCAACGGUUCGAAUCCGUUAUUCUCCACCUGAAAAGAGCACAUUGACAUGAUGGAAGCGAGACCCAGAUUAACUGGGUCAGCGAGAAGACAAAGUAGAAACUCAAACAGAACACAACGAGCGCCAUCAGCUUUCUGAUGGUAUAAAAAAGGCUUAGGCAAGGUGCCAGAAAUGACACCAGUUACUAUGUACUUCGAUACAUGAAGAUAUAACGGAAUGAUUGAAGGGCGCAUGGGGGAUGCCUUGGCUCUCGGAGGCGAUGAAGGACGUGACAAGCUGCGAUAAGCCACGGCGAGGGGCAAAUACCCUUUGACCCGUGGAUCUCCGAAUGGGGCAACCCGGCGGGAGCGAUCCCGUCACCCUGCGAUCUGCAGGGGGCGAACGUGGGGAACUGAAACAUCUAAGUACCCGCAGGAAGAGAAAGUAACAACGAUUCCCCAAGUAGCGGCGAGCGAACGGGGAGGAGCCCAAACCGGCGGUGUCGCAAGGCAUGUGCCGGGGUUAUAGGACCGACAUAACGGACCAAGGAUUCUAGUGGAAGCGCAUGGAGCGGCGCGCCACAGCGGGUGAGAGCCCCUUACACGAAAGGAUCCGCGGAACAGGUCGGCACCUGAGUAGGCCGGGACACGAGAAAUCCCGGUUGAAUUGUCGGGGACCAUCCCGAAAGGCUAAAUACUACCGAGAGACCGAUAGCGAACG